rnacentral:rRNA from 1 species
AUUGAACGCUGGCGGCAGGCCUAACACAUGCAAGUCGAGCGGAGCGGCGGACGGGUGAGUAAUGCCUAGGAAUCUGCCUGGUCGUGGGGGAUAACGUCCGGAAACGGGCGCUAAUACCGCAUACUAUCAGAUGAGCCUAGGUCGGAUUGGCGCGUUGGGGGGGUAAAGGCCUACCAGGGCGACGAUCCGUAACUGGUCUGAGAGGAUGAUCAGUCACACUGGAACUGAGACACGGUCCAGACUCCUACGGUAGGCAGCAGUGGGAAGUAUUGGACAAUGGGCGAAAGCCUGAUCCAGCCAUGCCGCGUGUGUGAAGAAGGUCUUAGGAUUGUAAAGCACUUUAAGUUGGGAGGCGUUACCAACAGAAUAAGCGCCGGCUAACAACGUGCCAGCAGCCGCGGUAAUUC